GAUGAACGCUGGCGGCGUGCUUAACACAUGCAAGUCGAACGGGAAACCUUUUAUUGAAGCUUCGGCAGAUUUAGCUGGUUUCUAGUGGCGGACGGGUGAGUAACGCGUGGGUAACCUGCCUUAUACAGGGGGAUAACAGUCAGAAAUGGCUGCUAAUACCGCAUAAGCGCACAGAGCUGCAUGGCUCAGUGUGAAAAACUCCGGUGGUAUAAGAUGGACCCGCGUUGGAUUAGCUGGUUGGUGGGGUAACGGCCCACCAAGGCGACGAUCCAUAGCCGGCCUGAGAGGGUGAACGGCCACAUUGGGACUGAGACACGGCCCAGACUCCUACGGGAGGCAGCAGUGGGGAAUAUUGCACAAUGGGGGAAACCCUGAUGCAGCGACGCCGCGUGAAGGAAGAAGUAUCUCGGUAUGUAAACUUCUAUCAGCUGGGAAGAUAAUGACGGUACCUGACUAAGAAGCCCCGGCUAACUACGUG
rnacentral:rRNA from 1 species